UGCGUAGGCGGGGCAAUUAGUCAGUGGUGAAAUCCUGCGGCUUAACCGUAGAACUGCCAUUGAUACUGUUGCUCUUGAGUAUAGUUGAGGUGGGCGGAAUGUGUAAUGUAGCGGUGAAAUGCAUAGAGAUUACACAGAACACCAAUUGCGAAGGCAGCUCACUAAGCUAUAACUGACGCUGAGGUACGAAAGCGUGGGGAGCGAACAGGAUUAGAUACCCUGGUAGUCC
rnacentral:rRNA from 1 species